AACGAACGCUGGCGGCAGGCUUAACACAUGCAAGUCGAGCGAGACCUUCGGGUCUAGCGGCGGACGGGUGAGUAACGCGUGGGAACGUGCCCUUCUCUACGGAAUAGCCCCGGGAAACUGGGAGUAAUACCGUAUACGCCCUUUGGGGGAAAGAUUUAUCGGAGAAGGAUCGGCCCGCGUUGGAUUAGGUAGUUGGUGGGGUAAUGGCCCACCAAGCCGACGAUCCAUAGCUGGUUUGAGAGGAUGAUCAGCCACACUGGGACUGAGACACGGCCCAGACUCCUACGGGAGGCAGCAGUGGGGAAUCUUAGACAAUGGGGGCAAGCCUGAUCUAGCCAUGCCGCGUGAGUGAUGAAGGCCUUAGGGUUGUAAAGCUCUUUCAGCUGGGAAGAUAAUGACGGUACCCGCAGAAGAAGCCCCGGCUAACUCCGUG
rnacentral:rRNA from 1 species